AAAAAGACAAACCCUGGGUUUCUAUGUCCAACGUUUAACUGUCUGUCUUAUAUGAAUUUUUUUUAUAAUUAGUAUUUUCAUUGUUGUUAGAUGAUAAAACAUGAUUAAUACUUUAUGCGUGACUUGUCUUUUUAAUUUUUUUUCAUAAUUUUUUCAAAUAAGACGGACGGUCAAAAGUUGGACACGAAAACCCAAGAUUUGUCUUUUU
rfam:Oryza barthii chromosome 7, whole genome shotgun sequence.